AUCAAAUUUUCCAUUGCAUAUGACAGCAUCUUAAUAUUUUCAAAGAGCUUGUUCUUGAAAUGUAGUGAUGCUGUAUUUAGAGUGGAAACUUUAAUAAUUGUUAACUCGAUUUAGUUUCAUGAAAACGAUUCUUAGGAAAGGAAAAAAAAAAAUUCAUACAGAAUUAAAUCCCCUUCACAGUAGAGUAUGAUAAUGGGACAAAUGUUCCAAGCUCUACUUCUGAAACCUAAUAGUGUCUCAGUUUCCAUAUGCAAAAUUAUAUUGAUCAGUGAAUAAACCUGAGUAAAUGAAAUUUGAGUAAAUCCCAGAUAGAAGGUUCAAAAAUAUAUAUAUAAAGAGUAGGGUAUGUCUAAACGUGAGGAAAUUUUUGU
rnacentral:lncRNA from 1 species